GGAGUCCUCAUGAUUGGGAUUAGUGCACCUAUAAGAGACCGCAGAGAGCCUAGCCAUGUGAGGACACAGGGAGAAGGUACCUUCAGUGAACCACCAGACACCAACAUCUGUUGACUUCCUGAUCUUGAACUUGCCAGCUUCCUGAACUCAGGAAGAAGAUGAGCCGUAAGUCUGAACGCCAAGGAAUUCAUGUGGAUCCUGUGCAAGAAAGGAUGUGGUUACUGUGGCAAUCCUACCUGGCAGGGUUUCUGCUCCAAGUGCUGGAGGGAAGAGUAGCACAAAGCCAGGCAGAAGCAGAUUCAGGAGGACUGGGAGCUGGUGGAACGACUCCAGCGGGAGGAAGAAGAGGCCUUUGCCAGCAGUCAGAGCAGCCAAGGGGCCCAAUCCUUCAUAUUCUCCAAGUUUGAAGGAAAGAAAACCAACAAGAAGACCUGCAAGGUUACCACAGUGAAGAAAUCUUCAGUACGUCUUCCAGGGUCAGAUCAAAGAAGGAUAUCAUUGAAAUGGAUUCCAGGCGUGUGCCUCGAGACAAGCUGGCCUGCAUCACCAAGUGCAGCAAGCACAUCUUCAAUGCCAUCAAGAUCACCUAGAACGAGCCGGCGUCAGCAGAUGACUUCCUCCCCACCCUCAUCUACAUUGUUUUGAAGGGCAACCCCCCACGCCUUCAGUCUAAUAUCCAGUAUAUCACGCGCUUCUGCAAUCCAAGCCGACUGAUGACUGGAGAGGAUGGCUACUAUUUCACCAAUCUGGGAGCCCAAAGACCAGGCCGUACAGACACUCCGCCUCCCAGCACUUGAUCAGAGAUUGUGUUCAUCCUACGGAAACAGAUGACAUGUGUUGGGCAUCACUCCCCACGGUCCUGGGUAGAAGAGUCCUUCACUUGGCAGGGCUUUUUCAACCAUGAAUAAGGCAAAUUAUAUAUAAGUUAAUAAUGCCAUUUCGAACCGAGACAGAUGGCAGCUAAAUGAAGUUUAAUUAAAGAAUGAGUGCUGGGGCCCUUUUUACUGGGUACUGCAUCUACUUUGACCACAAAAGACGAAGUGACCCCAACUUCAAGAACAGGCUUUGAGAUGGAAGAAAGAAACAGAAGCUUGCCAAGGAGAGAGCUGGGCUUUCCAAGUUACCUGACCUUAAAGAUGCUGAAGCUGUUCAGAAGUUCUUCCUUGAAGAAAUACAGCUUGGUGAAGAGUUACUAGCUCAAGGUGAAUAUGAGAAGGGCAUAGACCAUCUGACAAAUGGAAUUGCUGUGUGUGGACAGCCACAGCAGUUACUGCAGGCCUUACAGCAAACUCUUCCACCACCAGUGUUCCAGAUGCUUUUGACUAAGCUCCCAACAAUUAGAGAAUUCUAAGUGCUCAGAGCUUGGCUGAAGAUGAUGUGGAAUAAGAAACAAAUGUCAACAUAAUAAAAUCUCAGUUAAAAAUAUUUUAAAAAUUCUUGGUAGUUGAGCAGCUCUGGGGGAAUAAGGGCAAAUAUCCUUGUUAUGAACUAUACUGAAAUCUACCAAAGUUAAUGUUUACUUUGUGUAGGUCCAUUUGUCUAUUUUAUUUAUUUUUCCCAGUGAAAAGUGUAUUUUGAUAGAGAACUUUUCAUUUUAUA
rnacentral:lncRNA from 1 species